GACGAACGCUGGCGGCGUGCUUAACACAUGCAAGUCGAACGAGAGCGUAGAGAAAGCUUGCUUUUUCUACAAUCUAGUGGCAAACGGGUGAGUAACGCGUAAACAACCUGCCCUACGGAUGGGGACAACAGCUGGAAACGGCUGCUAAUACCGAAUACGUUCCGAAAGUCGCAUGACUAUCGGAAGAAAGGAUGGCCUCUAUUUAUAAGCUAUCGCCGGAGGAGGGGUUUGUGUCUGAUUAGCUAGUUGGAGGGGUAACGGCCCACCAAGGCGACGAUCAGUAGCCGGUCUGAGAGGAUGAACGGCCACAUUGGAACUGAGACACGGUCCAGACUCCUACGGGAGGCAGCAGUGGGGAAUCUCCCGCAAUGGGCGAAAGCCUGACGGAGCAACGCCGCGUGAGUGAAGACGGCCUUCGGGUUGUAAAGCUCUGUUAUACGGGACGAAUAAUCUUGUGGUUAAUACCCAUGAGAAGUGACGGUACCGUAAGAGAAAGCCACGGCUAACUACGUG
rnacentral:rRNA from 1 species